rnacentral:rRNA from 1 species
GACGAACGCUGGCGGCGUGCUUAACACAUGCAAGUCGAACGCUGAAGCUUGGUGCUUGCACUGGGUGGAUGAGUGGCGAACGGGUGAGUAAUACGUGAGUAACCUGCCCUUGACUCUGGGAUAAGCCUGGGAAACUGGGUCUAAUACUGGAUAUGACAUGCCACUGCAUGGUGGUGUGUGGAAAGGGUUUUACUGGUUUUGGAUGGGCUCACGGCCUAUCAGCUUGUUGGUGGGGUAAUGGCCUACCAAGGCGACGACGGGUAGCCGGCCUGAGAGGGUGACCGGCCACACUGGGACUGAGACACGGCCCAGACUCCUACAGGAGGCAGCAGUGGGGAAUAUUGCACAAUGGGCGGAAGCCUGAUGCAGCGACGCCGCGUGAGGGAUGACGGCCUUCGGGUUGUAAACCUCUUUCAGCACGGAAGAAGCGAGAGUGACGGUACGUGCAGAAGAAGCGCCGGCUAACUACGUG